GAUGAACGCUGGCGGCGUGCCUAAUACAUGCAAGUCGAGCGAACGGACGAGAAGUUUGCUUCUCUGAUGUUAGCGGCGGACGGGUGAGUAACACGUGGAUAACCUACCUAUAAGACUGGGAUACCUUCGGGAAACCGGAGCUAAUACCGGAUAAUAUUUUGAACCGCAUGGUUCAAAAGUGAAAGACGGUCUUGCUGUCACUUAUAGAUGGAUCCGCGCUGCAUUAGCUAGUUGGUAAGGUAACGGCUUACCAAGGCAACGAUGCAUAGCCGACCUGAGAGGGUGAUCGGCCACACUGGAACUGAGACACGGUCCAGACUCCUACGGGAGGCAGCAGUAGGGAAUCUUCCGCAAUGGGCGAAAGCCUGACGGAGCAACGCCGCGUGAGUGAUGAAGGUCUUCGGAUCGUAAAACUCUGUUAUUAGGGAAGAACAUAUGUGUAAGUAACUGUGCACAUCUUGACGGUACCUAAUCAGAAAGCCACGGCUAACUACGUG
rnacentral:rRNA from 1 species